CAAUGUUUUCCCCCCAGUCGAAUUUCCUUUCAUUCCUGAGAAUUACCCAGAGGCAGAGAUGGAAGGAAUGGCCUAAAUAGACAACAACCACCACCACCACCCAUUCCGAGAACACCAACACCACCACCGCGACCAUACAAGCUCCGUCACCGCCUUCUCUUUUAAAUCCGACUGGGAUGACGAACCGUUCAGCAACGAAGACCUCCAAGCCAUUGAAGCUACUCUUCAAUCCGCCUCCAAAAGGCCACGACCCUCCUCUUCUCAUAACCACGACGACGACGACGACCAUAAUUCCGGCAGUCUAGAUCCCCCAACCGGUGGUGGUGGUGGUGGAAGCCGCCAAGAUUGCCCAGUUCCAUUCUCGCUUCCCAGGAACCGAACCCAUUCUCUCUUUCACCUUGCCAAAGUGUCUUUCAUGUUUAGUAGUCUGGAUAGUUUAUAGUAGUGCAUAUACAGCUCCUCCAAUCUAAGACUGGAUUUUUCAGUAGGAAUUUAGGGGGAUUUUAAAGCAUAUGACAGCAAGCAUGGUGAUGCGAAUUGUAAUAUUACUGCAGCUGUUUGUAAGAUAUGUUUCUCCAUAGCUUGCACUCUUUAUUUCUCAUAUUACACUUUGAUUGCAACUGCCAUUUCCUGAAAAAAUUAAUUAUUUACUCAACUUUUGAUAGAUUUUUAAUCUGCCAUAUGAGAGUCCUAUUGUUUGAUGUCAAAAUAUGUGUCCAUUUAGGUAUGCUAUAAUCCUAGUUUUUUCUCUUUUCCUUUCGCUCUCUCUAUUUGUCCGUCUCCCAUAAGUUGUUUUGUUUGCAAGUCUCCAAGAAAUUUUGGCCAAAUUCCAAAAAUUUGAUGACCAAAUUUGGCCGAGAGUUUUUGUUUCUAUAAACAUGAUCAGUUGUCAUCUCUUUAUCUAUAAGAUUCUCUUAAGUGUUUCCAAGUAGCAGAAAAUUAUUGUUCCCAUCAUGUGACACAGAGCAAAAAACAUAUGCUAUGUCUAUGUGGAGUAUGAAGUUUGUUGAAAAGAAUGUUAGAUUAUCCAUUCAACGGAAAAGUUAAUGCUUAUAAAAUAUCAAAAGCUAUUUGCAUGGAAUUGGAGUUUCUUUUUCUUUUCUUUUCUUAUUUUUUCCCCCUUUUUUGUGGGUAGAUAUGGAAUUGGAAAUGGUAUGAUUAAGAAUUGACAACCUGAAUAGAAGGGAAUAAAUUAUGUAAGUUCCUCUGUAUGGUGCCGUAUAAGAAAGAUGUAAACCGGAUGGGUGAAUUAAUUUCAAUUUAUCAUAGUUAUAUAAGUCACUUUAGUUAAUGUUAAGUAGUCAAAUGUAAUACUCAAAACCCACAAAGUUUAGCAGAAAUAGAUUUCUGAAGGACAAGCUGAUUUACAUUGAGAUGUUGGAGACAUGUUACUAAGGACUCCAACAUUAAUAAAGGCUUGAUUGAUAGAUUUUUGUUAGUUCUCUUGCUUUCAAUUUAUUUGCACAUUGACAAGCCAUCAUUGUAGUAGUCUAUCCGGAGGUGGAAGCCAGUAACCAUAGAGCUCUGAUGGGUUUUCUUGUUAGGUAUUCUUUUAGAAAUUAAGUUCUGGUUGCACGAAUUCAAGAUUUAUUAGCAUAUGCACCUUUGAGCAAGCCAUUAGGAUAUGAAAAGGAAAAACUACAAUUUUAAUAUGCAUUCAUCUACUAUUAAUGCAUGCUUGUUUAUCAUUUUUACCACCUUGUUUUUCUGUGUUACACUAAUUUCUCCAAGUACUAGUUUAAUUUCUAAGUGGUUGGGGUCGUUUUCAGUUUAUUCUCUUGGGUUAUAUAUCUAUAUUCUCUACAUUCACGAUGGUUAUAUUUUGUUAAAAACAUUCCAUUUAGAAGGUUAGAUGGAAUACAAGAUCUUUAAGGGGAAUGAUUUGUUAACAUCUCUCUAUUUCAUGUUAUUGACUUGUAGAAAAGGGAGGAAUGGUUUGGCCAAAUAGUAAACUCUUGACUGUUCAGCCAAACCAUCAGUCUUUGCUCACAUAUUUUUGGCCCACAAUGCAAUGAAAUAAAAUUUCAGUGGGGCAGCUGCAUAUUUUGAUCCUCUCUCUUGACAUCUUCAUCUCCCCGAUAUUACACCUUCAGUAAGCUCAAUAUGCAAUAUUACUUGGUGGAACUCCUGCUUUGUCUCGGAUCAAGCAGGUGCAAGUAACCAUGAAGAAUUGCAUAAUUUGAUGAAAGCAACAUUGAUGAUUCGCAUACUUAAAAAAGAUGUUCUUUCUAAGCUUCCUGCGAAAUGUAAGCAACAGAUUUCAGGAAUUUAAGGAGCAAGGUCAAGUUUAGUCAAUUGAGCACAUGUUUAAAAUUAAUGCAAUGAAGAGUUCAACGCAAGAUUUGUCUCCACCACUACCCACCAUCGCCGUCACUAUUAUUACUUGUAAUUGUUUAUAGAUGAUUUUAUUGCCUAUGUUACACAAAAUGAUUGUUUUAAGUAUGUACUAAUGACAAUUAUAUGCAUGUAAAGACAAUUAUUGUUUUAUAAAUAUUUAAAGCCUUGGUGCUAUAAGAAUUUGCUAAUUUGCUUUAUAUAGUAUAUAUUUUUGCACCUUUAUUGUUAAUUAAUUUAGAAAAUAACUAAAAUAAUUGCAUUUUAGUGAACAAAUUGGUUACUCAAAAUCCAUACAUAUUGGUUGCUAAACAUAAAG